rnacentral:snRNA from 1 species
AUACUUACCUGGACGGGGUCUAUGGAACACUAGCUUACCAUCUCCCUAAAUGGGAGAGUGGACGUCAUAAUUUGUGGCAGAGGGGGUACGCGUUCGUGCGGCCCCUA